rnacentral:rRNA from 1 species
UAAGGAAUAUUGGACAAUGGGCGCAAGCCUGAUCCAGCCAUGCCGCGUGCAGGAAGAAGCAUCUAUGGUGUGUAAACUGCUUUUGUACGGGAAGAAACACUCCUACGUGUAGGUGCUUGACGGUACCGUAGAAUAAGGAUCGGCUAACUCCGUGCCAGCAGCCGCGGUAAUACGGAGGAUCCAAGCGUUAUCCGGAAUCAUUGGGUUUAAAGGGUCCGUAGGCGGUUUAAUAAGUCAGUGGUGAAAGCCCAUCGCUCAACGAUGGAACGGCCAUUGAUACUGUUAGACUUGAAUUACAAGGAAGUAACAAGAAUAUGUGGUGUAGCGGUGAAAUGCUUAGAUAUUACAUGGAAUACCAAUUGCGAAGGCAGGUUACUACUUGUGGAUUGACGCUGAUGGACGAAAGCGUGGGGAGCGAACA